CAAUAGCGUAUAUUAAAGUUGUUGCAGUUAAAAAGCUCGUAGUUGGAUUUCUGAAUCGAAUGUCCGGUCGGCUUACUAAGUAAGCUCGUACAGGUGAUGUUUGUUUCAUUUUUUGUGAGGAAAUUUAUCUGUCAUUAAGUUGAUGGGUUUACGGACUUGCAUCGUUUACUGUGAAAAAAUUAGAGUGUUUAAAGCAGGCGUUUGCCUUGAAUACAUUAGCAUGGAAUAAUAAGAUAUGACUUUGGUGGUCUAUUUUGUUGGUUUGCACACCAGAGUAAUGAUUAAUAGGGACAGUUGGGGGUAUUCAUAUUUCAGCGUCAGAGGUGAAAUUCUUAGAUCGCUGAAAGAUGAGCUUAGGCGAAAGCAUUUACCAAGGAUGUUUUCAUUAA
rnacentral:rRNA from 1 species